rnacentral:rRNA from 1 species
AACGAACGCUGGCGGCAUGCCUAACACAUGCAAGUCGAACGAGAUCUUCGGGUCUAGUGGCGCACGGGUGCGUAACGCGUGGGAAUCUGCCCUUUGGUUCGGAAUAACAGUUGGAAACGACUGCUCAUACCGGAUGAUGACGAGAGUCCAAAGAUUUAUCGCCAGAGGAUGAGCCCGCGUAGGAUUAGCUAGUUGGUAUGGUAAAGGCGCACCAAGGCGACGAUCCUUAGCUGGUCUGAGAGGAUGAUCAGCCACACUGGGACUGAGACACGGCCCAGACUCCUACGGGAGGCAGCAGUGGGGAAUAUUGGACAAUGGGCGAAAGCCUGAUCCAGCAAUGCCGCGUGAGUGAUGAAGGCCUUAGGGUUGUAAAGCUCUUUUACCCGGGAUGAUAAUGACAGUACCGGGAGAAUAAGCUCCGGCUAACUCCGUGCCAGCAGCCGCAGUAA